UACGUAGGGGGCAAGCGUUGUCCGGAAUCAUUGGGCGUAAAGAGCGUGUAGGCGGCUUGGCAAGUCUGACGUGAAAUCUUGCGGCUCAACCGCAAGCGGUCGUUGGAAACUGCCUCGCUAGAGUCCGGAAGAGGAGAGCGGAAUUCCUGGUGUAGCGGUGGAAUGCGCAGAUAUCAGGAAGAACACCCGUGGCGAAGGCGGCUCUCUGGGACGGUACUGACGCUGAGACGCGAAAGCGUGGGGAGCGAACAGG
rnacentral:rRNA from 1 species